GUAUAGAACCUACCUUAUAUUGGGGGAUAGCCCAGAGAAAUUUGGAUUAAUACCCCAUAGUAUGCUGAAGUGGCAUCCUUUAGUAUUAAAGAUUUAUCGAUAUAAGAUGGCUAUGCGUUCUAUUAGCUAGUUGGUAUGGUAACGGCAUACCAAGGCUACGAUAGAUAGGGGUCCUGAGAGGGAGAUCCCCCACACUGGUACUGAGACACGGACCAGACUCCUACGGGAGGCAGCAGUGAGGAAUAUUGGACAAUGGAGGCAACUCUGAUCCAGCCAUGCCGCGUGCAGGAAGACUGCCCUAUGGGUUGUAAACUGCUUUUAUAGAGGAAGAAACCCCCCGACGAGUCGGGUCUGACGGUACUCUACGAAUAAGGAUCGGCUAACUCCGUGCCAGCAGCCGCGGUAAUACGGAGGAUCCAAGCGUUAUCCGGAAUCAUUGGGUUUAAAGGGUCCGUAGCGGAUUUGUAAGUCAGUGGUGAAAGUUUGCGGCUCAACCGUAAAAUUGCCAUUGAUACUGCAAGUCUUGAAUCAUUGUGAAGUGGUUAGAAUAUGUAGUGUAGCGGUGAAAUGCAUAGAUAUUACUUAGAAUACCGAUUGCGAAGCAGAUCACUAAUAAUGUAUUGACGCUAAGGGACGAAAGCGUGGGUAGCGAACAGGAUUAGAUACCCUGGUAGUCCACGCCGUAAACGAUGG
rnacentral:rRNA from 1 species